UACGUAGGGUGCAAGCGUUAAUCGGAAUUACUGGGCGUAAAGCGUGCGCAGGCGGUUAUGUAAGACAGAUGUGAAAUGCCCGGGCUUAACCUGGGAACUGCAUUUGUGACUGCAUGGCUAGAGUGCGGCAGAGGGGGAUGGAAUUCCGCGUGUAGCAGUGAAAUGCGUAGAUAUGCGGAGGAACACCGAUGGCGAAGGCAAUCCCCUGGGCCUGCACUGACGCUCAUGCACGAAAGCGUGGGGAGCAAACAGG
rnacentral:rRNA from 1 species